GACGAACGCUGGCGGCGUGCUUAACACAUGCAAGUCGAACGGAAAGGCCCUGCUGUUGUGGGGUGCUCGAGUGGCGAACGGGUGAGUAACACGUGAGUAACCUGCCCUUGACUUUGGGAUAACUUAAGGAAACUGGGGCUAAUACCGGAUAGGAGCUCCUGAGGCAUGGUGGGGGUUGGAAAGUUUCGGCGGUUGGGGAUGGACUCGCGGCUUAUCAGCUUGUUGGUGGGGUAGUGGCUUACCAAGGCUUUGACGGGUAGCCGGCCGUAGAGGGUGGCCGGCCACCUUGCUCCUGCGGUACGCCCCAGUCUCCUACGUUAGGCAGCAGUGGGGAAUAUUGCACAGUGGGCCGACGUCUGAUGCAGCAACGCCGCGUUCGGGAUGACGGCUUUCGGGUUGUAAACCGCUUUCGCCUGUUACGAAGCGUGAGUGACGGUACUGUGUAAAUAAGCACCGGCUAACUACGUG
rnacentral:rRNA from 1 species